rnacentral:sRNA from 1 species
CCACCUCAGCAGGGGAAUCACCGUUCAC